rnacentral:rRNA from 1 species
AACGAACGCUGGCGUCAUGCCUAACACAUGCAAGUCGAACGAUGCUUUCGGGCAUAGUGGCGCACGGGUGCGUAACGCGUGGGAAUCUGCCCUUAGGUUCGGAAUAACAGUUAGAAAUGACUGCUAAUACCGGAUGAUGACGUUAAGUCCAAAGAUUUAUCGCCUGAGGAUGAGCCCGCGUAGGAUUAGCUAGUUGGUGUGGUAAGAGCGCACCAAGGCGACGAUCCUUAGCUGGUCUGAGAGGAUGAUCAGCCACACUGGGACUGAGACACGGCCCAGACUACUACGGGAGGCAGCAGUGGGGAAUAUUGGACAAUGGGCGCAAGCCUGAUCCAGCAAUGCCGCGUGAGUGAUGAAGGCCUUAGGGUUGUAAAGCUCUUUUACCCGUGAUGAUAAUGACAGUAGCGGGAGAAUAAGCCCCGGCUAACUCCGUGCCAGCCGCCGCCGUAA